rnacentral:rRNA from 1 species
GAUGAACGCUAGCGAUAGGCUUAACACAUGCCAGUCGAGGGGCAGCACAAGGUAGCUUGCUCUCUGGGUGGCGACCGGCGCACGGGUGCGUAACGCGUAUGCAACUUGCCCUAUACAGGAGGAUAACCCGUCGAAAGACGGACUAAUACUGCGUAUGCUCACAACUUGGCAUCAAGUGGUGAGGAAAGAAAUUCGGUAUAGGAUAGGCAUGCGUCCCAUUAGCUUGUUGGUGAGGUAACGGCUCACCAAGGCAACGAUGGGUAGGGGAACUGAGAGGUUUAUCCCCCACACUGGUACUGAGAUACGGACCAGACUCCUACGGGAGGCAGCAGUGAGGAAUAUUGGUCAAUGGGCGCGAGCCUGAACCAGCCAAGUCGCGUGAAGGAUGACUGUCUUAUGGAUUGUAAACUUCUUUUAUACGGGAAUAACAAGAGUCACGGGUGACUCCCUGCAUGUACCGUAUGAAUAAGCAUCGGCUAACUCCGUG